CUCAGUUCAGAUCGUAGGCUGCAACUCGCCUACGUGAAGUAGGAAUCGCUAGUAAUCGCAGGUCAGCAUACUGCGGUGAAUACGUUCCCGGGCCUUGUACACACCGCCCGUCACACCAUGGAAGUUGGCCAUGCCCGAAGUCGUUACUCCAACCCUUGUGGAGGAGGACGCCGAAGGUGGGGCUAAUGACUGGGGUGAAGUCGUAACAAGGUAGCCGUACCGGAAGGUGCGGCUGGAUCACCUCCUAA
rnacentral:rRNA from 1 species